ensembl:lncRNA TARID TCF21 antisense RNA inducing promoter demethylation
AGGCAUGCGGGUUUAUUGUUAGAAUUAAUUAAUGGACUAUUAAUAAGAAAUGUAGAUAAUGUAUGCUGCAGAGCUUUGAAAAUCCUGAAACACACCCUAAGGGUUAUGGAAUUUACAUCUUUCAUAGCUUCUAUUAUUUCUUCACUAGUUUGCAGCUAUGCUCACACCUGGAAGGUGACAAAAGGUGGAGUUUACUUUCUCGCCCGUGUCAGCAGUCAUACGGUGGAAUCCAUGAAAAUUGGAUUUCCUUUUUCUGGUGCGUUUUACUCUUGAACUGUAUAACUGUGGAUAACUUUAAUACUGCCCAUUCUUUGUUUUCAGUUAUAUAAUUUCUAUUAGCCUUAAAAGUAACCGAUAUAUUUCUUUUUUAAGGUUUCAGUAUAAAACAUAAUCUGCAUCUUCAUUAUGAAACUCAUAUGCAAUUUUCUUCUAUCUCUAGAAGUUUAGAUUGAGGUUUAAAAGAACCAUUUUCAUUAUCAAGCUUCCCCAUAGUUUCCCACUUUCUUAUUCCAAAUAUUUUUAAAAAUCACUCCAAAUAUCAGAGCUUUUAGCAAUAUAAAGAAAGAUUUAUUUUCAAAAGUAGCAAAACUUGUUUGAAAAAAAUAUAUAUCUUUAAGUGAAUUACUUUAUAAAUGUGACUGUCAAAGUCAGCUAUCCUAUGAUCUACAUUUUACAACAUAUUGUACAAAAGAUACAUUGAUAGGCUCUUAUCUAUUUAUAUAUUUAUAAUUACAUAUUGCACUUGGACCAGCAAGGCUUGCAGAGUCAUUCACGGUAGAAGUUAAUAAAGUUAAAUAGAUGGGAAUCUUUGUAAGUACAAUUGAUCUCCUCUGGUUUGGAAACGAAUCUCCUCGUCGUUGUAAAGUGUUCUCGCGGGGUGGGACAGAGAGAGGAGCAUUGCGAGGGGGAAGCAGAGACAGAGAGCACUGAGGGCAGGGGUCGCCUUCCCGGGGCCCGCUCCCCCCGGGAGCGCGCCUUUCCCAGACUCGCACCUCCAAGGUCAGGACGCGGUGGUUCCACAUAAGCGGCUCGCGGUCACCACUUCUUUCAGGUCACUCUCGGGUUUCCCGGCCACCAUAAAGGGCCACGUCUGCGGGAAAGAAGAGGGUGGAGGAGGUGGAGAUUUAAAUGACCACAUCCACCCUAAGAUUUAUUGUGAGAAUGAUUGAUGUUAUAAACCAGGAAAAGGACUCUUCCCACAGCAGGGAUGACAGAAAUAUCAAGUUGAAGUUGCCUUUGUCUUCACAUACGAAUGACCCAGUACUACAACACAGAAAGUAUAAUAAUUUAAUCUGAGGUUCAAGACAGCAGUGAGAGAACACCCAGCAGGCCUGUUAAAAAUUUCUUCACUAAUUCCUCAACUAGUUUCCUUUGAUUUGCUCUCCCUUUUCUCAGUCUUGGUAAAACAUGAAAGUUAAAGUUAUUUUUAGACUAAAGAGCUAUGUGAAAAUGGGCAUUGGCCAAUACUUUGUGAAAUGUGUGUGUGUGUGUGUGUGUGUGUGUGUAGCUACUAAGAUAUCUGCAAAAUAACUACAAAUAAUUAAUUUGGGCUCUGGAAUGUGAUAAUUAUUAUAAAUCCAAACUAUGGCCUUACUGCAUACAUUAAGCUGUGAUUUUUCUUGUUGGAGCCAUUUUUUUUUCUUUUUGGCUCUGGGUCUCUGUUACACCUUAGUUAAUGGACUGCUCAGGCUGUCUGGGGAGAUAGUAAAAAUCAUAGUAAUAUGUACCACUGAAAAGAUUUCUGUUGUCUGUAUAUUUUUCAAUGUUGGAAACUUAAAAGUACCAAUUUCUGGAAGCAUGUAAAACUAGCCUCAUGUCAUAGGCUGGUUUUUAUGCUUAGCAAUUAUUUUUCUUCAUAGCCAUAUAAGAAAUAAUUAAGUCCCAUGUCCAUUUAUCUUGCAGUAAGACAUUUGGGCUGAGAAAGGCUAGUGGGCUGAUAAUAAAUUUUGGAGUGUUUCUAAAAUUCUGUAAAAGAUGGCUUCCAGUUUGGGAGUAAGAGUCGAAGAAUACUGUUGCUUAUGUAUCUUGAUAUGAAGUCUUGGAGAGAGAAUAUUCAUAUGAAAAAUACUUUUUUUCUUUUAAAAUUUUGUGUCUAUCCCUGCUAAUAAACACUUAGGGACAAAUGGGUGGGAGAAAUGACUUCUUGUUGGAUUCUACUGAGCAAGUCAUUUAAGCUGUAACUUAAGCUGUGCCAAAUUCUCCCAAAAUAUAAACUAUAUUCUGUGAGAAGACAAGCACUUUUGAGAAGCUGUAUUAACCCUUUUGGUAAGUUGACCAUUUCUGUUCCAAAGCACGAAAUAGAAAACUCGUGAUUUGAAAGUAUGAGAUCAUUUCUAAAAGUUCUUACCUGACUUUUAAGAAACAUUUAUGCCCCAGAGGCAUCUGGCCAAUUUGCUGCUCACUUCUAACAAUUUGUUUUGCAAGAGAGACUAUCUUUGAAAGAUUUUAGUGCUAAGGAAAUUUUAUCUCUGAAAGCUGUAAAAUGAAGAUUAGGCAUGGAAUGUACCCUUGAACUUAAAUCCUGGUUUAUCAGCUGAUACAUUUACAGGAAGUUCAAAUUUGAUUCAGUUGCACUUGGAUGGAAUAAUUUGCUUCCUUUUUUAUGAGAAGGAAAACAUCAUAGGCUUCCUUUGAACUGACUUCAUAUGCCAUUACAUAAUCUUUCUCAGGGGAAAAAUAUGCCUUUAAAUUUAAAUGUUAAUCCUUUUCUCUUACUCCUCAUCAUUUGGUCAGGAGACACAGGCUGGCAAAUUGGCAAAACUGCCCAUUCUCUUUUUUCUUCAUUUCUAAUUAGCACCUCCAGAUGUUUUAUUCAUUUUAUUUGAUGGUAACUACCACCACUUCAAAUAUUUGCCAACUUUCUAUGCAAAAAAAAGUUGACGCCUUUUUUUUUUCUUUUUUUGAUGGAGUCUUGCUCUGUCACCCAAGCUGGAGUGCAUCAGCACGAUCUAGGCUAACUGCAACCUCCGCCUCCCAGGUUCAAGAGAUUCUCAUGCCUCAGCCUCCCGAGUAGCUAGAAUUACAGGUGCCUGCCACCAUGCCUAUCUAAUUUUUGUAUUUUUAGUAGAGGUGGGGUUUCACCAUUUUGGCCAGGCUGGUUUCAAACUCCUGAUCUACCCACUUCAGACUCCCAAAGUGCUGGGAUUACAGGCAUGAGCCACCGUGCCCAGCCAGGUGCCUCUUUUUUGAUUUUACAUAAUUAUCUCCAUAUACUUUGUUUGCUGCUGAUUGACUGUUGUCUAUCUCCCGCUUAUAUGCCUAUCAAACUCUGACUUUGUUUCAUUAAAUUUUAACUUUAUUUAAUAAAGUGAGCAUUACCUCUCUUUGCUCAUUCUAAAUUAUAGUGGUGCUGUCCUGUUAUAUUUUGGCAGCCAAAGUGAAUAUGGCACUAGUGAGCUUGGUGGCUAGCUAAGAAGGUCAAUAACAGUGAUGCUGGGUAUUGCUGCUACCUUUACCUGGCACCAGCUGGGAGAUGGUAUAAAUCCUGGAUGGUAUAAAUCCAUUCAGUAAUUAGAAGUCUUCUGCGUGUUCACUAUACCUUAACCCCCUCUUUUCACAUUUAAUUCAGUGAAUUGUAGAUAAGAUGCCACAUUGCUAAGAUUUAAAGGUGGCAAAUAACAACAAUAAAGUCUAGGGAAAGAUUCUGCAUGGUUCUUUGAAUCCAGGAGUUAAUCUUGCAUUUCACAUGUUCCACAAUACAGCUUUGAAAGCAGCCAAGCCUAUGCACUUGAAAGUCAGAAUUUACCCUAAGGUGUAAGUGGGCCAGAGAAAACUCGGGCAGACAAAGAGAGUUAAAAAUUUUGCAAAGCCAGUUUAAUGUCCUCCUAAGUUUUCUAAUACUAGAAUAAUUUUAUUAGACCCUGUCAGUGUUAGGAAAGAGAGAGAAAAGGACUGAGCGACUCCUGAGUCAGGUACCAUGCAGGGACUUUUGCCUCCAUUCUCUCAUUUCAUGUAUUUUCUCUCCUUUCUGUUGGCACUACUAAAGAAAGAGCUGCCACAUGAAAUGAACAGUGUAUUAGAAAUGUAUGCCAGAGGCUUUCCCCUGUAAUAAAGUUUUAGAAAAACUG